UAAACACUGGUUACCGUAUGAUCACUGAAGUUAAGCAACAUCAAGCUUGGUCAAUACCUAGAUGGGCAACCACUUGGGAAUACCAGGUGCUGUA